GCGUGGAUUAUGCAUGCAAGUCGAACGGGAAGUCCCGACUUCAACUCUUCGGAGGAGAAGACGGGAUGGAGAGUGGCGAAAGGGUGAGUAUCGCGUGGGCAAUCUAGGGCGUGGUGCGGAAUAACCUGGCGAAAGUCGGGCUAAUGCCGCAUGUGGUUUUCCGGCGCCUGUCGGAAGGACUAAAGGCGGGGAUCUUCGGACCUGCCGCUCAGAGAGGAGCCCGCGUCCGAUUAGCUAGUUGGUGAGGUAACGGCUCACCAAGGCGACGAUCGGUAGCCGGCCUGAGAGGGUGACCGGCCACACUGGGACUGAGACACUGCCCAGACUCCUACGGGAGGCUGCAGUCGAGGAUCAUUUGCAAUGCGCGAAAGCGUGACAAUGCGACGCUGCGUGGAGGACGAAGGCCUUCGGGUUGUAAACUCCUGUCAUGCGGGAACAAUACCCCGCCGUUAAUAGCGGCGGGAUUGAUGGUACCGCAAGAGGAAGCGACGGCUAACUUCGUGCCAGCAGCCGCGGUAAUACGAAGGUCGCUAGCGUUGUUCGGAUUUACUGGGCGUAAAGGGUGCGCAGGUGGUGCCGUGUGUCGGACGUGGAAUCCCGGGGCUCAACCCCGGAACUGCAUCCGAAACUGCGGCACUCGAGUACAGGAUGGGAGAGCGGAAUUCAAGGUGUAGCGGUGAAAAUGCGUUGAAUAUCCUUGAGGAACAGCGGUGGCGAAUGCGAGUCUAUGGAAUGUUACUGAGACUUGAGGCACGAAAGCGUAGCGAGCAUACAGGAUUAGAUACCCUGGUAGUUUACGCCGUAAACGUUGCGUACUUGGCGUGGGAGGAAUUACCCCUUCCGUGCCGGAGCUAACGCGUUAAGUACGCCGCCUGGGGAGUACGGCCGCAAGGUUAAAACUCAAAGAAAUUGACGGGGGCCCGCACAAGCGGAGGAGCAUGUGGCUUAAUUCGAUGCAACGCGAAGAACCUUACCAGGGCUUGACAUGGUACUGCACGCCCCGUGAAAGCGGGGAAGCCUUCGAGGGUGUACCACAGGUGCUGCAUGGCUGUCGUCAGUUCGUGCCGUGAGGUGUUUGGCUAAGUCCAGCAACGAACGCAACCCCUAUGUUUAGUUGCCACCGGUGGUGAUGAGCCACCGAGCACUCUAGACAGACUGCCCGUACAAGCGGGAGGAAGGUGGGGAUGACGUCAAGUCAGUAUGGCCCUUACGUCCUGGGCUGCACACGUGCUACAAUGGUCGAUACAGUGGGCUGCAAUACCGCAAGGUGGAGCAAAUCCUCAAAGUCGGCCUCAGUUCGGAUUGGAGUCUGAAAUUCGACUCCAUGAAGUCGGAUUCGCUAGUAAUGCCGUAUCAGCUACGCCGGCGUGAUACGUUCCCGGGCAUUGUACACACCGCCCGUCACAUCAUGAAAGCCGUCUGCACCCGAAGUCGCUGAUCCAACCCGCAAGGGAGGAAGGCGCCGAAGGUGUGG
rnacentral:rRNA from 1 species